rnacentral:rRNA from 1 species
CAGCCGUAAACUAUGCGCGUUAGGUGUACUGGUGACCACGAGUCACCGGGUGCCGAAGGGAAACCGUGAAACGUGCCGCCUGGGAAGUACGGUCGCAAGGCUGAAACUUAAAGGAAUUGGCGGGGGAGCACCACAACAGGUGGAGCCUGCGGUUUAAUUGGACUCAACGCCGGGAAGCUCACCGGAUAGGACAGCAGAAUGAUUGCCGGGCUGAAGACCCUGCAUGACUAGCUGAGAGGUGGUGCAUGGCGUCAGUGACU